AAGUCGUAACAAGGUUUCCGUAGGUGAACCUGCGGAAGGAUCAUUAUUGAAAUAUCUGAGAGGGGUUGUCGCUGGUCUCGUCAGAGGCAUGUGCACGCCCCGAUCGAUCUCCAUACACCUGUGCACCUUCUGUAGGGCUUGGCGGAUGCGCGAGCGUCCUGUCGGGCUCUACGUUUUUACACACCCCAACGUAUCAGAAUGUCUUGUUAUUCUGCGGUAACACGCAGAAGAAUUAAAUACAACUUUCAACAACGGAUCUCUUGGCUCUC
rnacentral:misc_RNA from 1 species